CAUCCGAGUUUCUACGACGGUCGACCGCCUUCAAGAUUCUUACCGGGCUCCUGUGAGAGCCAAACUUCUACUACGAGCGAUCUACUCCAAACUACUAUAGCGAGCGGUCUGCUCCGAACUCCUACAGCGAGCGGUCUGCUCUGAACUUUCACUACGAGCGGUAUACUCCAAACUCCUACCGUGGGCGGUCUACUUUGGAUCUUUACUGUAAGCAAAUUUCAUUCGAGCUCCUAUUGUAAACACAUUUCUUUCGAACUUCCAUUACAGGUAGACUUCAGCCGAGCUUCUUCGUAGCCGGAUCCCAGACGAGCUUCUACAGCGGGACAGGACCCACCGGCCA
rnacentral:lncRNA from 1 species